GACGAACGCUGGCGGCGUGCUUAACACAUGCAAGUCGAACGGAAAGGCCCUGCUUUUGUGGGGUGCUCGAGUGGCGAACGGGUGAGUAACACGUGAGUAACCUGCCCUUGACUUUGGGAUAACUUCAGGAAACUGGGGCUAAUACCGGAUAGGAGCUCCUGCUGCAUGGUGGGGGUUGGAAAGUUUCGGCGGUUGGGGAUGGACUCGCGGCUUAUCAGCUUGUUGGUGGGGUAGUGGCUUACCAAGGCUUUGACGGGUAGCCGGCCUGAGAGGGUGACCGGCGACAUUGGGACUGCGAUACGGCGCAGACUCCUACGGGAGGCAGCAGUGGGGAAUAUUGCACAAUGGGCGGAAGCCUGAUGCAGCAACGCCGCGUGCGGGAUGACGGCCUUCGGGUUGUAAACCGCUUUCGCCUGUGACGAAGCGUGAGUGACGGUAAUGGGUAAAGAAGCACCGGCUAACUACGUG
rnacentral:rRNA from 1 species